GAUGAACGCUGGCGGCGUGCCUAAUACAUGCAAGUCGAGCGAACGGACGAGAAGCUUGCUUCUCUGAUGUUAGCGGCGGACGGGUGAGUAACACGUGGAUAACCUACCUAUAAGACUGGGAUAACUUCGGGAAACCGGAGCUAAUACCGGAUGAUAUUUUGAACCGCAUGGUUCAAAAGUGAAAGACGGUCUUGCUGUCACUUAUAGAUGGAUCCGCGCUGCAUUAGCUAGUUGGUAAGGUAACGGCUUACCAAGGCAACGAUGCAUAGCCGACCUGAGAGGGUGAUCGGCCACACUGGAACUGAGACACGGUCCAGACUCCUACGGGAGGCAGCAGUAGGGAAUCUUCCGCAAAGGGCGAAAGCCUGACGGAGCAACGCCGCGUGAGUGAUGAAGGUCUUCGGAUCGUAAAACUCUGUUAUUAGGGAAGAACAUAUGUGUAAGUAACUGAGCACAUCUUGACGGUACCUAAUCAGAAAGCCACGGCUAACUACGUG
rnacentral:rRNA from 1 species